ensembl:lncRNA
GCCGGGGGGAAUAACUCACAUUUAGCUCUUAAGCUACAGCAAUCAAUAUAAAUUUAGCAUGGUAACGAUCAGGUGCAGGGGGUGUAGGUCUCCCGUGCCUCUCUCUCUCUCUUUUCCCGGUACAUGGCACGGAGCUCCGGCUCCCCGAGGCCCGUGGGUAACGCAACUAAGGCUCCACGCGGCACGUCGAACCUCAACUGAGGAUUACAGUGGGGGAAACAAACAAACAAAGCUGUCUCCGAGUCUUAGCGACAGGCACAGGCGAUACACAGAGCCAGUAAUGAAGCCACUGAUGGCACCACACACCCCUCCGCAGUGGGCUUCCUGGAGCAGCGGAGGUGUUUUAGACUGCGUUAAGGACAUAAUGGGACAAAUCGAGAUGAUGUGAUGAGCGAGCCGUGUGUCCGUGUGGCUGACUGAUAGAUGCUGUCUCUCAGGAGAGCGUCCGUGCUGAUGGCUAUCGCCCGGGGAGGAGGGUUGAGGCAGUUGUGGCUCCUGGGUAUUCAGAUUGGAGUGUUGACAGGUUUAUUAUUGAAGUUUGUUUUUUUACCAACCCUCUUUCUAUCACUGGAUGGGUGGUGUCAAGGUGUGAUAGUCACUGUCUUCUUCUCUAGUUUCCAAGUGGGCUGUUUCCACAUUAGCUAGCUUCCACGACGGCAGCCGCUUCAAAAUACCUGGAGGAGACAACAAUAAUAUCAAUUAAUUGAACGGCAUUAGAAUGAAUGCUUUACUUUUUAAUUGGUUCAAAGUCACUGAACAGAAGUGAGAAGCAGUACUCACACCGGAAGCGGAUAGAAAAUUGGCCGUAGGAUGGUGCCAAAUGUAAGCCUUGAGUCAUACAGGAUACCCAGCCGGAGUAUCAACGCCUGUAAUGCAACUGACAACCUGCUGCCUCUGACGUUAAUAAAGAUAGAACAUGUACAAAAAUUACUCACUUCCCUAUUGUAAUGAGAUCGUAUCCAUCAUGAUACUGUUUAAAAAUGAUCAAAUUGAAGCUCAAUUGGGGCCUCGUGCAUCGCUGUAACCUGCUGGUAUUACUCUUCUAAAUGGGUGGAAAAGUGGAGGGGAUUUAAAUAAAGACUCUAUAUGUUAAUGGCCAGGGUUUAGCUCCCCUGGUGAUCCACUUCCCACAGAGACGGACCAGCGGGGAGGUGGGAUGGGAGCAUGUAGCCGGCACUAAAGAUAAAUGCCGGUAGAUGUUGUGUUGUACACAUUUCUAAUCUUCUCCCCGCUUUUGAAAAAAAAAAAUGCAAGAACAAGGAAGGGGGAAGAUGUUGACCUCAGUAGGUGUCUCUGUGUCCUGCUUGGCCACAAGAGGGAAGUAGCUCGCUACAGAGGUGGAACACAGGCCACAGGUUUAUGAAAGCAAUAGAGAGAUGUGAGAUGUAUUAACUAAAAGGUAUUAUCAUACUUUACUUUUACACAUCACUGGACUUUUUUUUUCAUUACAUGAGCCUAUGAUCUUUAAUACAGAAUAGGGGAAAGUACUGUGGACAAGGAGAUGAGGCAAUGCACAAUUUAAUGGUAUUGGCUUUUAUACGUAAUAAGGGGGCACUGAUCAAAGGUUCACAAUACUCAAAAGCAGCUAGGUUGCACUCAGGAGGGGGACCAAGUGCUCUCCAGCCAGCCUGAGUAAAUUGCCAUAUCAGCUCAUCAGAAUUCAACUGGAAGAUGUAAGUUAGUGGAGACUAAUUGAAGACCGAUUUAAGGGGCAUCCAUCUGGACAUGGCGACCCUCUCCUACUUUACUUAGUAAUUUCUGGUGAAUGCUAAUGUGUUUAAUAUAAUAGUGUAUUUGUGGAGUGGGAAGGCUCUUUGAAAUGAAGCAACUGAAAUGUACAUGGGGAAAUUACUCAAGCAGACUAUCCAUUUGCUUGCCCUCUUCGCUUCUCUUGGGCAAGGGGAAGGUGAUGCUGGAGGAGCCACGCUCUCAUGGAGAACAGCGCGUGUGGGAUGUUAUCAGAGACUCGCUCAACAUGGUUAUGUGAGCCUAUUAAACAAGUACGGGUGUACGAUGUCCUCUACAAAAUUAGGAUCAGAAUCUCCGGCUGUGUGGUCCUUCUUGACCCGACUCACGCUAAAAUUGGAUAUUCCUUAGAAAAAGAUUCGGUUAAUGAAAAGUAUCGAGCAACAGCCUGAUGAGGAAAGCCACUGUGGAUGCAACUGGAGAUUAAUUAAGUUGCGGAGAUAAGAGCUCUGCGUAAUAUGCAUAAUAUGCUCAACAAUAAUUAAAAGUAGCAUAGUAAUACAUCAUAGUAACAAAUAAGUGUCAAAAAGUCAAAAAGCACAAUAUUUCCUCAGACAAAUGAUACGUGAUGCAAACUGUGGAGAGAUAUGAAGCUGUGGGAGUGAACGCUUCUCACAUCUCCCUCAUCUUUAAUAAAUAAAUAAGUGUAAACAACAUAAAAAAGGAUCUGGCACCUGCAAACAAGUGUUGUUCAAAUCAUCUAAUAUUUAUUAAUUAUUUUGCUAAAAAUAUUUUGAAUUUUGAAUUUUGAAAUAGAGCAUACGGACACUGGAUUAGAAAUAAUUUAUUUUUCAUUUGAGCGAUUCUUGUUUUGGUAGAUUUGUGCUGUUUUUUUUAUUUCACAUUAGUUUCCAUGCAUUCAAUUCUGUUACCCUACGACAUCUUUUCUUUCUGCUUUGAAUCCAGAUUUCAUGGUGAAAACACCAGGGCAAAGAACAUCGUCAAUAUGGCCUUCACAACUGCUGUUAUUUCCCCCGGGACCUGGAAUCACACAUUUGAAGCUGUCCUCCAGGGAGAUAUCUAGACAACAGACUGAUCCAAACCGUUGGUAACUCUAGUCUCACUACAACUCCGUUGGCUUUGAAAUCUUUUUUUUAAAAGGAGCUAAAUAACAAGAAAGAAAUAGGUCAAAAUAUGUGAUUUUAUUUUUAUUUUUUGCACAAAAAUCAUGUAAAAACAGUGACAAUGAUGAGAAAAUGCAGAGACGAUGCGAUGAUGGCUGUAUGUUUAAGACCGUAGUGUCAUCAGACACAUGCUUUUUUUUGGUUUUUGAGAGAUACUUAUUGCUUUUUAGCUCUUCCACAGGUCGUCUGUACUGGACUGAACACCAUACUGUUAAGGUAUUUAAAAGAAAAAUGAUGAAUCCUAAAAUGCUCACGAUCAUGGUGAUUCCAUUUAAGGUAAGAUUACUGUCCCAGAUGUCAGGGAUGAUGGAGGCAACAAGGAGGAGUGUUUAUAUUAGUCCCCAAUGCAUGCUAACCACAAUUCCUUUCCCAUUUUACAACCUAACUUUCUCUUACUUCAAGGAGACGUGUUCCCUAAGCUGCUUUGAUAUGCCUGGCUGCUUGGAAGCUGUUUUAGAAAAAAAAACGCCCCAUCCCACCGCACCGACAGGUGUCUGAUUUCUAUUCCCAUGGCAAACGUACGCCACAGCUAGAUGCAGAUUGCCUGUGGAGAUCACCGUUUGUGCAAAAUAAUAGUGUAUGUGGAAAUAAUGGCCCAGGGACAGUCUACAGGCUUUCAGAUUAGAUGGAUGUUUGGGAAGAAAUGAUACAACAGUGAGGGAGUGAUUGCUGUAAUGAUAGAUUCCUAACCAGACAUCUUUCAUAAAUGGAAACUUGGGUUUUGGCCAGAAAAGAAUCCAGAAUGGGUAUGUCAAAGUGUGAGACGAUUUAGGGGAGAUGUUUUCGCAGCAAAUUGCUGCAUCAUGGACGCUUGAGAUGCUUUAAGGUAAUACAGUUCAUGUCUGGCUCAGUGAAAACAAGAAAGUUUUAAAUGAUGCUUGUCGACUGACUAGAAGAACUUUGAAGUUUUAUCUCACUUGUCUUUAAUACGUUUUUUGGAUUAAUAGGUUUGCAAUGUCAUAAUGCAACUUCUGAUGAUGAAUGAAUGGAAUACCUUUUAUAUAUGUUUAACACAGAUUGUAUCACCGUUCUCUUUCAGAGCCAUUUCUUUCUUGUCAUGCAAAAUGGAAGGUCUAACCCGAGGGUAUGACAAUAUGAUUAGAAUGGGAAGUCAUUCCUCCAUCCUCCCGGCCACUGUGAUAUAAAUAUAAGGAAGUGAUUAGAGGGUAGAAGCAGCUUUGGUUCAUUUAUAUUUCAUACAAUUUGAAAAAGUAAUCUGACCUAUGGACGCUGCAUACUGGAUAUGGAAGUAAGGAAGCUGACAUCCUUAUAAGACUGCUUAAUUUCUAUGGAAUUACUCCAUUAUUUACGUCAUUAAAACUACGAGACCACCAUAUAACCCACUUUCAGGGGACGUAUGGACUAACCCUAGGUUGGAGAUAAAAAUAAGGUGACAGCAUAGGCACUUUGCAAAGAGAUAUGUUAAAUCAGCCUGAUCAGUCGAGCAUAAUGUCAUGGCUAUUACAUUUAGCCUUUAUAUAUGGAUGUCUGUCAAGGGAUGGGCCAUUCUGCUAGUGUGAGAUCCCAUCGCAUAGAGAUUGCGAGUUUGAGAUCAGAGAGACACUCGUUGAACUCAAUUCAUUAUUAAUGUUGAGAUGUGUCACUUUCAAUUCUCACUACUUUUCCCCCGUGGUUAAUAAUUACAUGUUUUGAAAACACUUUGGUUAAUUCGAUUAUGAGAGAAUCAGUGUUUUUUUUCAACUGACUCCAAUGUAAGCCAGUCCGCGUCAGUAAUAGAUGGUUAAUAGCAACUGAUGCGGUUCGAGGGGGAGGGAUGUGUGUGUGUAGAGCGUGCGGGAGGGGAGUUGGAUGGGUCAAACUACCAAACACAAGACUUUCUCCUGACCUUUUCAUAACCCCAACCAACCUUCUGUGAAUACGGGAGAUUAUUUUGAAAAGACACGAUACAUGCAAUGGGUGUGUAGUGGCUGACAUGAUGCUACAUGGUGCUAUGUGGUAUCAACCAAGUCUCACAGCAAAACGUUAUUCUUUAACGUUAUUCCCAAAAUGGUGACAAUACUAUGUUUUAUUUCGGCCCAUUCAUUUACAUUGCCUUGCAACUACGUCACUAGAAACUAAUAAACGGAAGGUCUACAUUCUGUGAUAGAAGAUUAUGAAAAUAGAACGCAUACUUCUCGCUAGAAAUGCCAUCGAAAUGCAUACAAAUGCUGAUGCUUUCUCAAAAUAGUGGCUGUCGUGAUCAAGUUGUUGGUGUGCACGGCCGUCUGUUGAUGUUUUUCCAGUUGUCAUGACAACGGGCCGUGGCUCUUGAGGACGCUCAGCUGCUGGCAAUUACACCCCUGGCUCCAGUUCCCGAUCAGGGGGGUAUUUAAGAGCCGUCCGGAGAUCCAGGCCCUGCCGGAUCGUUAUGUGCCUGAGACUACCGUCGUUCACCCUGCUCGAUUCCUCCCCACCAGACCCCCAGAAACCAAAACGUCUCGGACUACUGUUUUUUUCCUCGUUAUUGUUGGAUCCACGUAAAUAAACCAAUCCAGUCUGCGUUUGGGUCCUGUUCGAGCUUGACAUGACAGUUUUUCACAGAAAAUGGACCGACAGUCCGCCAUUUUUUUUUGUUAGCUGAGGGGAAGUUGAUAGUCACGUGACCUAGUUCCAACUAAAACAUUGUAUCGUCACGCUUUCUCACCAAAAGCGUGACAAUACAACAAUGACAAUACAAUAUAAAGUACAGUGUCAUUGUACUAAAGCUACAAAGCUAGGGGCUACAAGCUAUCUACACAAACACUUACACAGUAUCGCCUUUUUCUUUAUGGAUUUCUCCCAAUUUUCUCCCCAAAGAGGGUUUUUUGGGAGUUUUUUCUCCUGUCAGGUAGUAAAUGAACAACUUUAUGCAAGGGAGCCGACUGAAGCAAAGGUCUUGAGAAUUGGACCACAUGAACUGUCUUGAUGAUGAAGUGUGAUGAACGGUGAUCAACGUUUUGUAUUUCACUUUGUAAUUGUAUUCCUUAUAACAGUAGCUUGUUCCAUGCUAACUUAUCUACACCACCACCUCAACCCAAACCUAUUUUUUUACAGUAAGCUACAUCUUAAUAUAUAAAGUAAUGUGAACGAUCGUUAAUACAUACAAAUUGGUUCAGGCUACUUUAAAGCUCCUAAAUUCUCAUUCUUAUUUCAUAUCUUAAAUUUGAAUUUCUUUUCGUCCCAAAUUAAUGCUGCGAUUGCUAAAUUAGCAUCUGUCACAUACAGCGUGGUGCUAUUUUCAUGCAACAAUCAAUUACAGUGUUCAUUAUUCAGGUCUAACGUUGCUUCCCCCCUACACACUCUGCUCUGCAUCACCAAACCAAGGUGAAGCAGGAUACUGACUUGCAUUAACUUUGACCCUGGCCAAACAUUUACAUACACAAAACACAAACCUGUGUCCGUUGAUGCCCCCAUAAACAUGACACAUAUGUGAUGUGCCUGUCACACGCGGGCCAUGUCACUGUGACCGUGUGACAUUGUGACGGAGCUCUCCCCCCUUUGUGUUUAUUUUGUGUAUAUGUGGGAGGUGGGAGCAUGGGGGGGGCCGGGGGCGGUUUUCAUUUUCGUGUUUUUUGAUGAGUGUGAUUGUGCGGGCGCAUAUAUGCUGCCUCACUUCGACAACGUUGCUCUGGCUCCAUUCUGUAGGUCAGCUGGGGUUUAAUUGUCAGCCUUAAAUAUUCAUGGGCACAUUGAGUAGAUAAAUGAAGGUAUAAGCACACUGUAAAAUUUUCAAUAGGUCAGGUGUCACUGACUUCACCGGAUACAAUUUACUGUGUGAUCCGACAUUCGCUGCAAUGCCAAUUAAUAUGUUAAGAGCAUGAAAAGGAGCCCUAAUGACAUUUUCCAUUUAUGCAUUAUAAAGUAAUCCACAAUGAGAUGGAUACCGUUAAGACUAAAGGUGCACCGCAAUAAAAAGGACCGCUUUAGGAGGGUCUUUUAUAUAGGUAUGAAUCUAUAUAAUUCUAUCACAGACUAAAACCUUUAAUUCUUUCAGUCAUUACUUUUUACCUGAGCCGGAGCUUCCUCUUGAUAACCCGAGCACAGUGGUCAAAUUAUUCUACAAUUUAUUAUUGUACUCUUUGACAAAAGUGAUCAAAGCUUCUGUACUGCAGGCUCACUAGAUGCCACUCGCUCCAGAUCGUUAUAACUUCAAAUCUAACCUAGUUAGCCCGAUCACAGACGCUGGAUUAGACCACUAUGGAGCUACAUUAGAAAAUAUAACUUAGUUGUAAUAAUUAUGUUUGACCCGUCUAAUUCCAAGAGUGACAUGUGAUGUAGAAUAGGAUCAACAUCAUUUUUGCCAGUGAUUACACCUUGUAAUCAUGAACUGAAUUGAUUCCGUUUUCACCCAUGCUUUAGUCAGGGAGCCGCAACUCAGCAACGCCAUCGAAGCCAAUGUGGCCUCUCUCGGAUGCCCAGCUGUUCUGCCAAGGUUAGUAUCUCCUCAUCCUCUGCGCUUCCGUCUCUUUUCUUAAUAGCUUAUUUGACGAUAAUUAACCCUGAAUCCAAUAGGGAACGUCCAGUAAGAGAUUGAUGGCCUCGUUGGCCUGCUACACCUGUUCUGCCACAAGGCUCACAGUUACUGAACCGUGGCCAAAUCUGACUGCCCUGGAGCCGCGCGUGUUGAUGUCAAAGACAAACACGGGUCCUCCCCAGUGGCAGGGGUGUUCAAGGUAGGGCAACAUUGUGACCAUAACCCCUGGUUACACUCAUUACUCCACUCAAGGCUGGCUUCUCUAAGGGGGCAUCCUGCUCUCCCUUUUUCUCCCAAUUAUCCAUUCAUCUGCAGCUCCACUUCUUCCUGCAUGAAGUGGCGCUGACUUGCUGCAAAAAGCAUAUUUCAUCAGGUCAGUGCCUUUUGUCAGCCAGUCCAUUUCGGGACAGAGUAUGACCAUGUGAUGGCUCUUUUACCGCCGUUAUCACUUUUAGACGUGCGUGGAAAACCACAGCUCAGGAAAUGUUUGUUACGCACUGUAUUUAGUUGCCAGUGUGUCUCAUGCAGUUGUCCUACUGUGGCAGAUUACUGCUGUGAAAGCAGAUCCUUGUGCCAAUGAUGAAUGGCAUAUCCAGGCUGCACACAUGUGCUCACGAUUACAAUGAACAGAUGUUAAUUACUUCUUUUUUUCCCCUUCCUUUUCUUGAGAUGUUCAUCCCUUCUGGUCGAGGCUCUGGACUUCUUCUCGGUAAGGGGAGGGAGGAGUGGAGGGGGGAAGCAUGGGCCUCAGCCAUGUUUGCUGCGGAGGGGCUUUUGGGGGGUGGGGGAAUAAUUUAAUGCAUAAAAGUGUUUAAUUUUUCAUAAACAGAGGAACCACUGAAUGCCCACAACUAACAAUGUACCCCAAAGCAGAUGUAGAGCGUUUUUAAUUUAUGGAGAACUGAGCGAAAUGGGCAGAUGGAGCAAGAGGAGGUGGAGGCAUGCUGAGGGACUCCGCUUUCCUCUCUUCUCACCUCACAAACAAGAGAAGCCUGUGAGCGUGUGCCACAACUCUCACAAACACACUCCCACACAACGCUCAAAGACACAAGCGCAUGCACAAACGCAGGCAUCCACCACCCCCACCUUAUACAUGCACACUUCCAACUUUCAACACAAUUCCACUCUCCCCUGUAGUCCAAAACAAGUUAUGCAUGGAUACAUCCCCCACCUAGAAACACACACACCCACGCAUGCAUUCAUUACCUAAAAUGAUCCUCCCGCCAUCACCCCCUCACAGACACACACAACCAAAUCCUCGGGGUUUGGCUGGACUCGAUUGAGAACACUCAGUAAUGAACUGCCUCCUGCGCCGUGCGGCGUCUGCAGGAAGUAGACAGGCUUCAUUCUGGCGAGCCAUAUGUAGGUAUGAAUAUGCAUUGAAAUCUGUCUUACAGCCAACAAGCACAACGUAUAUGUGAUGUCAAAGGUCACUGCGCGAGGAGUGAAAUUAGCUCUCAGUUGGGCAUUUGGAGACACGCAAGACUUUUUUUGGGAAAACGUGGGCGGACUGUGAAUAAUGCUAAUGUGUGAAUUUAGUCCUUGGCUCACUUUUAGAGGACAACAUUAAUUAAGAAGUUUGGCCACUUAGUAUUAUCUGUUGUUAUUCGAGGUAGAGGGAGAUGUUGGAAAACAAGGCCAUAUGAAAGAUAUGGUGGCCCAACAGUUUUUCUCUCCGUGGCACAGUUGUUUGCCGUAUUUGCAUUUAAAAAAAAGGCAAAACAGAGAUGUUUGGGGAUUUUAUAUUGAAUUUAUUUGUAUUAACAGUACCUGUUUUUUGAAAAACCUAAUUGCAGUGAGACUGUUUGUGGUAUUAGGGUGAACAUUGCAGUUCCCAAGGUCACAGGUGGCAACCUGGUUUUCUUAACACAGCCAUCCCAUACUGCUAACAUGUGGAGGACAGCGUCUCCUGUGCAGUUAUGUGGUUGCUCCAAAAAUGCACAAUAUCUGUACUGCCGACAUGAUACUGAUGGAGCCUGAGCAGUUUUGCUUCAUCUCAGCAUCUCUUGAUUGAACAACUUCCCUCACAGGCUUCGCUGUUCGACAUGGUUCUGUUAGACUUUACCGUUGUGUAGAAGCGCAUUAUCUCUCCCUGCUGUCAUGUCACUUCAUUCCAAAUUCAAACUCUUGUAAAAAAAUGAAAUAAAGAUAGGAUUUUUUUCGUGAGCCAGGCUGCACUUCUAACAGGCACAACUAUCUCCAGCUUGUUAACUAUUUAUUUGAGGUGACAUUAGCCCGGCAUUGUGCUUUGCACGUGUGUCCCCAGGCACGGCCCAGACGGCCUCACUGUCCCGCAGUCUUUCUGCUGUAAAUUCUCCACUUAAAAUUUCAUGAUCUCCGCUCGGCAGGAUACCGCUUCCAUCAUGAAAGAGUUCUCAAACCUAAUAACCGUUACUACUCUGGCGGAGCCAUCAAAAACCUAUUUGUUUCAACAAAAGCCCUCUCUCCCCCAUGCAAUGCUGCUGGGUAAUAAUGCCAGGUUUUAAGGGCAAUGAAUUGUGGAAUUACCAUUUCCCUCUCUCUCUCUCUCUCUCUCUCUCUCUCUCUCUCUCUCUCUCUCAAGAUCAUUAUAUUAAACACUUAAUUAUUCAUUGGUAAUGUCUGUCAUGGUGAAAUAUUGUCCUCUACCAAUCUGAAUGCAUCAUACUGCCGAGGCCUGCCUCUCUUCCUGAGGUUAAUGGCACAGCCUUCACUUGCAUUAGCUCGGCUAAAUGCAAUGCACCUCAUAAGUCAAAGUUGCCUAAGUGCGUGGAGAAGUCAUCCCCUCAAGAUCUCUCUUUUUCUUUCUCCUUCAGCACGCGGGUCAGUGAGAUCAUCCUCACACGCCAACUAGCUCGAAGAACGCACACACACCGCCACACACACACACACACACACAAGUGUCCACGUUGGAGCUUUAUUGUUUUAUCUGAGGGUGGUUUUGAGCAUGACGGAGCAGUCGAAGCUGCCAUGGAGCUUUUAAAGGUGAGGGGUGAGAUCACUAUUCAUGCAGUGCAUCCGUAGACGGCCUCUAUAGGGUACAGAGUAGUAUGACUAAAUGAUGAGACUGGCAUUAGUCAUUCCAUACUACAUGCUCAAUUUGGACAGACAUAAACAGUAUUAAACAGAUUACAGAAGAUAGUGGUGACAAGAUCUCUCAGGUCUGAUGCGAAGAUGCAUGGGCACCCUCCUUGUGUUAAUACACUCUGGCAUGCAAUAUUUCUUCUGCAAAUAUGCAGCGCUAACAGAAAGGAUUUUGGGGAUGGUUUUGUGCACUUAAGCAAAUUGCAUGUCGAUUACGUCUUCCUGAUAUUGCUAAAACGAAAUGUACUUUAUCAUCGGUUAACAGUGUAUUACAUGUGAUGAGAAAUCCUUGUAAAAAACAUAUAGUUGUUGUGUCAAUAGCGGGAACUGCUGACACACGGGUAAACAUUUCACCAGCUUUGCAGCUUUCCGCUGUGGCAUGUACAAUUAAUAACAGAAACAAUUAAUUUUCUUUGAUGGAAGGUCAUUCAGUUUGAACCCCGCCGAAUGAAGAGGCAGAGAAACGGGGCAAAAGGAUGCCGGAGAUUAAUACUGUUUCUUGAAAGCCAAUAUGGAUCAUUAUUUUACAGCCUUCUAUUACCUGGUUAAACAUGCAUGCCUUUAUGUCAGCACAUUAUUCAAGGUGCCAGCAAAAAGGCUUCUGUGGCGCCCUGACGCUUACCCUCACAACUGGGCCAUCCAGGAAAAACAUCCAGAAAACAAGCUAUGGGAAAAGCUUGCGGUCUUUGUACAACAUGCUUACGGUUGUGGUUGGACCUGCAAAAUAUGUACAAAUAACUUGUGCAUUGUUCAUUUUCAGGCACGAUUCAACACCUUUGCAGUCCUAUUAUCUUCAGAUCUAUUUCCUUACAUGUGAGAACAAAAUAAAUUCCAUUCACGAAGAGUAUGAACCUUGUUUUGCUUUUACUUUCAUACUUUUGGAUGGCGGUUAAAAAACAGAGCAGAGAGAACACGUCAAGGGGCCAACAGAAACACCGUAGCUGGUCCCUUUUAAGUCGUUUGCUUGUUAUUAAUUAAUGACUCCUGCAUUUGGAUGAGGACAUUUCUGACCUUCACUUCAAAGUUGACUUUGGGCACUGAAGAGCUUAAUAGUGAACCAUCUAAUCUCAUUAGACGAUGCUGGGCGAAGGUGGCACGGCGACAAAGUAACAGUCUCUCUCUCUCUCUCUCGGUUUGGACCGGGAGCAGAAACAGGUGUGGGAGCGGGCGUGUAAGUCUGAGACAGGCGGAGCCCUCGCUAACCCCUCUCCUCUAAUUGCCGUGGAUGGCAGCAUGCUCUCGCUAUCUGCUGCCUUUCAUAACAGUUGGUGUUUGGCAAAGGGGCUUUUAUGUUUGUUUUUAGCUGAUGCGUUGCUACUCAUUGUGGCUCCGUCAAAGGAAUACUUUAGCAUCCUUAGUUGAAUUGAAACGCGUGCGUCCCUCGUGGACGUGGAUGCCAACUGCUCCAAGACACAUUAGAGUCACUCAAGACACUUUUGAAACUUCUAGCAACAAUCCGAUGUUGAUUUAGUAUCUUUCUGUAAUUAUUUACAAGAAACUUCUGCACAUAGAGAACGACUCAGGAGCACCACAGCACAGAUUUGGGGAUUAAACAAUGUAUGAGCAGCCCUACUGGCCCCCCUUCAGCCUAAAGCAUAUAGGCCCAGUGAUUUUCAAUUUCACAACAAAAAUCAAAUCAAAUUUUCGCUUUCUGUAACAUACUUACACUUGCAGGUGUGUCAAAUGUUACAAUGGAAGUCUCAUUCAUAUCAUUUCCUGUUGCAUUACACUUUGUUCUGGAGUGUAGUCUGAGUAAUAACAUGAGCUGGUUUUCUGACACACUCCACUCAUAUCUCUACCUUUACAAAGCUCCAGCUUUUUACUCUGCGAGGCACAUAUUGCAGAUCCUGUGGAGCCAUAUUUAUUGUCGCAGCUUAUUUAAAUAAUCACAAACAUGCCAGUGCACAUUAUGGCCCUCUGUCAAGGUAAUAACACAUUGUCAUUGCUGUUGGGUGGCAAAUAUUAAACCAUAGAUCAACGUUUAACAAUAAUGGACUGGAUCUGCAUGUCUCCCUUUCCAUUUCAGAUGGCCUUCGGCUAUAUUACAAUAAUUUAAUGCUUCAAAUAAUGUGACGUUUUUUUUGUUAUUAUUGCUUUUUUGAGAAAUAGUUAAGGGAAUCAGUGAUACAUGUAUUAUCGAAUGUGAGGUUGUUUCCGUGUGACGGUUGUUUCACUGAGAUAUUACUGAGUCUGUGUCCGAUGUGUGUUUUAAGCCCAAGCAAGUGUAUAAACUGUACAUGAAUAAUUCUCUUUAAUGUAUACUUUAUGUGCCUGUGUACAAUGCUGCAUAUUUAAAAUGAAACAAUAAGGUGUUUACUGUUCCUCCUAUGGCGACCGUAGGGUUUUGUUUUUGAUUGCUGCACAAAUUCACAUUCACUUUAAUGUUAAUAUUGUACAUGGAAGAUUUUUCUAAAAAUGCAUUAUGCAGGAUUAAAAACGGCAAUAACUGAUUUCUUGGUCAUGAAGGAGCUUUUGGAAACAAGCUGUGAACACAAUGCUGAUGUAAGCAAUUAAGCUGUGUGUCAAUCGGUCACUCGUAAUCAAGCGGUUUUCCUUUUAAACAUCAAGGAAACCAAACAGCAUUGACUUAGUGUAACCGUAUUUCUGACCACCUGGUGAAAAUAACUUAAGCUAAGUUAAGUGGCUGACUUAAAUAUCUUUUUUCGUCACUUAUUUCGUGGUAAGUUUAACUAAAAUCAACCAGAUAGAAUGUUAAAAUGAUUGUGUCCAUGUAGUAUAUAUUUAUGUUGUUUGGCUCUUAAUGCAUCUAACUAAUAUCCAGAGAGACAUCAGCUGCACACGGAUACACAAACACAAACACACAACACUUCUUUUCCAUGGCUAGGUGGUGAUUCUGCUCAUGGUUCAAUGAACCAUCAGCUGUAAAAUCCGACUGCUCCUGAGCGUCUGUGCGUUGGGUGCCGGGCCUGCGGCGUUUUGACCCCCGGGGGGGGAUUCCUCUGCCGGAUCAGCUGUUGGUAGCCGAGUCAGCGGCUAACAGAGCCCUGGGGAGCUCCGGGUGUGUUUGAUUAGCUCUCCACGGAAGAAAAGGGUCAAGGGAAGGCGGCUCAUGUUACCUUGGCGGAGGUGGAAAGGAAGGAAGCAAAGGUGAGGGCAAAGAGGAAAGCGGCGUGUGGCCGACAGGCAGAUGAGUGGUCGCGUGGGUGAGGUGGGGGGGUGGCGAAGAGAGGGGAAUUAGACACAUGUCGAGCUGAGGUCUCAAUUUUCCCGCCAUCAGGGCGACACCUGGCCUCGUCUUAAUUGGCCCAGGAAACCUCACCUAAUCCAUCGCCGGUCCUCCUCGGUGUCCGGAGCCUUCUGAGCUCCAUUCGGCGCCGAGGCGAGCGGACAAAAGCAAGGGAUGAGAAAAAAGGGGGGGGGGGGGGUCUCUCUCUGAGACCUAAUCCAAUUAGAUAACUGUUAGAACAGCGUGAGUAGAGCUUCACGUCCCUUAAAAGUAGACACGAACUCUGGCAACCUCGAAGAAUGCCAUCUUGUUAAGAGUCGCAGCGGGGAACUCUUCUUCCUCGUCUCUUGAUCCCUCUGACCAGAUGUGUGUGUGUGUGUGUGUGUGUGUGUGUGUGUGUGUGUGCGCGUUUUAGAAACCCACAGAGAGGGAUAAAUGGUUCUCACUCAUAUGGCAGCCAGUCUACAUCUCAUCCACGUCUGAACUAAAUCAGUAUCUGUAGGGCUCUCCUGAUGGUUGUGUAAUGGCGCCAGUAUUUGUUUUUCGUUUAAACUUAAUUAACUCUUUAAUACUUUUUAUGUAAACACAAAUGAACUGAUAAAAACAAAACAACACAAGAGCCACUCUAGCGAAUAAAAGUAGAGAAACGGUACUACGGGGACUCAUGUGAUUUAUUCUUGUUUACAGAAUCAGUAUUGCCGUAGGUGAUAUCUUAUCCAGUAAAUACAUGAAUAUGUAUUGCUGCUUUUUGACACAUGCAAAGACUUACACGUUACACAGACUACUUUUCUUCCUCCAAAUGAAAAAAAACAAACAACGGUUCCAGGCGCCACAUCGAAAAGCUGUGAUUUUUUCCUUUUUGAAACACUUUCAGUUAUUUAAAACCUGUGAUGUGCCCUGCAAGAGUGGUGUUGCCUCGGAGAAUGCCCCUAAAUGUUUGCUAAAGGGGGGCACGGGUUGGCCCUCGUAAUACCCCAUAAUGUCCCUGCAUAGUGAUCAAACAAUGAGAUUUAAUCAGUUGCCUCCAGUCUUGUUCCCAUAGAAAUGUGUUCUCUAAUAUAAAGUUCAUUUCUAUGAAUAUUAAAGCAGCAUAUCAUUUGUUGAAUAUUUCAUUCGAUGGCCACCUCUUAAUAAUGCAAAAUGAGGAAUAGAAUAUUCCCCCUUUUUCCUAUAGAUGACGGCUUUGACCACUAUUGUAGAUCACGUAACACAUUUCAAGGUGUAAUAUGUUUACGACAGGCGUAGUUGAAAAUCUUGAAUAUUGAAUCAAUGAAUAUUAUCCCACAAUUUGGGGCAUUUGGACAUUGACACACAAUGUAACACAACGAUGAAAGUGUAUGUGUCUUUGGCGGGGGGGGGGGGGGCAGGGCCAGGUACGCCUUCUCUGUUGACCUAAACAGAACGUUAUAGUUAUUUUAUCAUUCUCUUUUGUUUAAUACACUACAUGAAUUGUGACUAUUUUUCCAGUUAUUUGCACAGCUCCUGUCUUCCUCUGUUGCUUCCAGUGCAGCUUUCAUCCAAUCAGAUUCAGCCCUUGUUUCUCUAUGUAAGAGAGGCAAGAGGUCCUCUAUGUAACUUUGCACAUCAUAUGGGGACCAUAUUGUUGACUUUCAUAGUCCUCAACCAGAUGUAGUUUGCCAUGUUGUGCGUAUGCAGCAAUAACGGGUGCGUCAAGUAAAUCUCAGUAUUUAGUAAGAGUUCAGGAUGAACUUUGUCUGUAAAUAGUGAACAACAUUUGGCAAGUGAUCUUGGGUGUGUGUUGUUUUAGUGCCACAGUUUUGACAUGCUUUGGUGUAAAUCAGGGUUCUUCAACGUUUUUCAGCCCAAACUGAUGGCGAGAUGGAGCAGGGACCCCCUAUUCUACGGAGUUUGGUCCGCCAUCUUUUAUUUUUGAUCUUCGUGCUCUUUAGACGUGAGCAUGAGCGCGAUCUGGUUGGCUGGUGCCUGUGCUGCCGUAUUGGCAUGGAAGGUGCUGUGAGUGAACCGGUGCCCGAAGCAUGAGAGCUGCUGCGGGAAGCUGAAUGUGUGUGUUGAGGACCGAAAGAUAAUCCAAGAUGUUGGAUCCAUGUUAAUGUGUAUUGUGAUUCUGAAGACAUUUAAAUUAGUGGAAAAAAAAAAAAAAGUUUGUAUUACCAACCAAUAAUGUUGCCACCUGCCUGCAGUACCUCCGCGGACGCCCUGUUGAAGACCUCUGGUGUAAAUAAAUGUGAGUGGUUCUCAUGCGUUUGCUCUCGUCAUUGACUUAAUUACAUUGCUUUCAAUAAAUGCAUUGUCCUAUAAUUACACAGCAUACUGUCAUGCGCGUAUUCACGUAUCUGCAGUCGGUGUUUUUUGUAUGUGAUGACCUUCAUGUAACAUUUUACUUCACUUUAAAAGUUACAGAGUUGUGGUAUAUGAGGUGUUUUGAGGAAACAAAUAACCUGCAACUGUGCCCUCAUAUUGAGGUCUUUAGGUUAUUCAUCUGUAGUAGGACGUCACAGGAGGCCCAGGUAGAAAAGGUCUUUAGUGAAGCAUGGGUCGACAUCUGCUCGUUUUGAAUGAACUUUGAAUUUAAUGGUUCGGGGGAGACAGCAAGAGGAGGUGACCAAUCAAGCCGCAUGUUCUUUGCAGAUACUGAAGGUGCAUAAAAGUACUAAAACAGUUACGUGAAGGCUGCACAAGCUGCCUGCACGGCUUAGGAGGCUUAUCUAAUGUAAUUGUAUCCCAUCAUGAGGAUGCGAAUGAAGUGCGUAGACAUUUCAACCCUGUUGGAAAAGGCCUUGAGGCGAUCUACCCUCGGUGUCCUUCCCCUCUCAGCCGUGUUCUAAUUGUAUUAUCCCCUUCAUUUUAGUUAUUUGCUUCUCUCUCCUUUUCCGUCUCCCUCCUCUAAAUGUCUUCGUCAAGCAAUCAUCAAGGUGAUAAUUGCAUUGCCAGUCCCCAGUAAGAUACAUUCUUAAUUAUUUCAGCAUUAGGCGGUAGUUAUACAGGCAAUUAAUGCUUAACUUCACAAUUAUAUACUUUGUUUGAUUGCCUUUUAUCAGCAGGAUGCAAUGGGCUUAUUGGCCGCUGACAAGAGGAGCGCCGCAGUUUUAUACAAAAGAUAAGUGAUGUGACAUUCCCCCGUGCGGCUUGUGUUCACAUGCAAACACGGCGUGUUGCGUUGAAGUGCUUUUAAUCUCGCAAACACCCCACGCACGAAAAAACAGCCGCGGACGCUGAACGAGCUGCGAAGGCAUGAAAAGCAGUUCGGGUCAGGCGGUUGCUUUUGAAACCUUGAUUCUCUGCCAGUCUCGCUUGAGUCUGGUUUGUUGACACCUCCGUUGGAAUGGGCUUUUCUCGCCGGUAUGAAUAACUCAUCAAGGGUUCUCGGUUCAUGUUGCGGUUAUCGGAUGGCGGGCGUUGGUGUGAAUUUGCAAAAAAAAAAAAAACUACCUUUCCCUGUUCUGCGGGUUGAGAUGACAUAGGAAUUGUCUACUGUUUCCACCACAUAUAGUAACUUGAAAUAUGUUGUUAAUAGGUGACAAUAUGUUUUGAUGCUGCUUUAUAGUCGGAUUCAGACCUAAUUACACUGUAGUGUACACCUGGCACUGCCCCUCAGUACCGUCACAUUCCUCUGUCUUUAAAGUCUUGGCCCGGGCAUCAAAGCCGCCUGCUUUUGAUGAUAUUUUGGCACUGCUCGGUGUUGGCUGCAACUUAAAUAGGAUUAGAGUUUUGCACUUAAAAAAAAGGGGCCUGCUGCUCUUCAUUUCAGCAGAACAGGAUAUUAUAAGUAUUUGUCAAUGUCAAAAACGUGGGACAACUUUUAACAUUUUUAAAGAGAACUGCAAAGCUAUACAUGUUGUAUUAUCAUCAAAUCGUUCAUUUUUGUCAUUCUGCUCUAUCAAUAUUACAUCCUGGUUGUACCAGAUUCCAUUCAGCUACGACCCUUUAACGGUGCAGUGUCCAGUAACAUAUUCAAUGAGCCUACUCCUUCCAUCCGUGGUUAAUGCCAUUAUGCUUUCUAAUGUCGGCUCCCGUUCACACUUUAUUUCAGUGACGAUAAUAAACGCAAUUUAAGAGUUACAAUAAUCUAAAUCUGGCUUUUUGGCUGUCCCGCAAAAACACCCUCUAACCCACUGUAACUUUCUUUCGUGCUUUCAUUCAUCCUGUCAUGACUAUUUACUGACACUGGGAUAGACGGGUGCUCUACUCACGGCGGUUAUUAUCGGAACCUACAUGUGUGACAUCUAACUUUACCCACACACACACACAGACACACACAGACGCAUGCUGCUGUAACAAACACAUGCACAGCGGUCACUGCCCAUGCAGCAGGACAUACAUCAAGACCACCGUGUGGACAUCAAAGAUCAAAUUACUCCUCCCAGUAUGAGUCACAUUGAUAACCCCCGAUGUCAGUAGGAAUCCAAUCAAAAUCUUAAUUGUGCCCCACUAAAACGGCCCCCUUGAUUAGUUCUCCAAUAAAAUCCAUUUCCUGCCCUUGUGCCUAUUUUGGGCAGUUUAUUUCCCUUGUGGCAUCAAGCAAUAGGCCCUACCCGGGGCCCCCACAUCAGAAGGCCCGGUGUGAUGUGUGUCUGUCUGGAGCGCUUUGCAGGAGCUUGAUGCUUGUGUCCGCCCCCCCCGACCAUUCCCGAUGAUUACCUGAACCCCACUGUUGGCUUUUCCAAUAUUCUCCGCUGGCUCAACCUUUUGUGUCCACCCCGGGCGGAACUAAAUGGGCAGCGCUUUUAGAAAAUUGUGGCACUUUUUUUGGGUCACGUUUAUCUUACGGCCCUAAAAUUGUGGAGCCGUCUUACAGGGAGAAAUUGCACCAAUAUCCAUCUAGUCUCUCUAUCACAGGAACGGUGGCAGCAUUCAUUCCGCCAGAAGAAAUAUGAUCUCCUGUUAUUUAGUCAGUGUUAUUUCAACUGGAGCGUUUCGAGUUGGGUGAACUUUAAUAUUUAGAACGCUUACCUCUCAAACAUGUGUUCCCCGGACUAUGUAUAAUGUCAUCGACGCUUGAAUAACUAAAUUGCUGUUAACCACAAACUGUGUCUUGAAAAUCAGCCCAAACGAAGGAGUUGAUCGUUCAAUCAACAUUCUUUCCCUAAAAGUAAAUCGGGGGUGACUUUUGGAGCGCUCGACAGAAAUAACUGAUUACUGAUUGCUCUGAGGUGCAGU